AAGUACCGUGUAUUUUAUUGAUCUGACACACAUAAUAUAUAUAUAUAUUAUUUACUACAACCAGUUUUUAUGGUGUUUUAUAAAGAAAAACACAUAGGUACUUUUUGGAUACAAUUGUGAACAAACAAAUUUGAAACAUGUAGAUCGCUAAUAGCUGUUGCUUUUGUGAGAAUUGAGGCUUAUUUCACCUUUUCCAGAAGUUUUAGAAUUUUUUGUAAAAUAAUUAUCUUUUUUACUAAACGAAAAAUUUGUGGCUGGGCAACCACAGUAGUACUGCCCAUGCAGGCAUGUGACAGAAAACUCAUACAAGACUUCCUUCCAGCUUACAUUAGCUAGCUAGCUACAUAGCCAUUUUGUUUGUUUGUUUUAACUUCAAGAAUGUGUGCAUAUGUACGAAAAUCUGCAAACUUUUUGUAAACAUUGGCAAGACAUUUUGCAUUUACUGCUACUUGGCAAUCACUCCACAAAAUAAUCUGGCUAGCUACCUACCUAGUACUAAGAGGUGUAAAUGCAUAAUAAAAUUCUCACCUUUCAACAUCACUUGACUUUAAGAUUGGACCCUUAGAAGCAAUGAUUUCCCAUGGACCGAAAACAAAGUUAUCUUUGCUUAUCUUGACUGCCAUUUUAUAUUCAUACAACAAGCGCACGACUCUCUCAUCAACAUUAUAAUAUACUUGGUGAAAAAUUGAAGCGAUUGUUACACGUGACGGAAUGCGUAUGGCUGCAAAGAAGUUGGUUUGGAGAGGAGGCAUCGCCAAAAUGGUGAAAAAAGAAUUAUUUAAAUCCCCAGCAAACAUCACUAAAAACGAAGCAAUCGAGACAUUUAUGAAAAAAACUGAUGUUGAGAUUGAAGUUGGGAAAAACAUGAAAGCAGUAAACAAAGAACUGCAUAAUAAACGACUAAAUAAAAUGAGACAGAUACUUGAAAAAUCACAAAA